rnacentral:snRNA from 1 species
GUGCUCACUUCAGCAGCACACAUACUAAAAUUGGAAUCAUACAGAGAAGAUUAGCAUGGCCCCUGCCCAAGGAUGACACACAAAUUCAUGAAGCGUUCCAUAUUUGA